AUUAUGCUGUUCCAAAUGUGAAGAAUGUUGUCAUAUGUGCAGUCCUAUGACGAUUCUUCACAUUUGGGGCUGUAUUAU
rnacentral:pre_miRNA from 1 species